rnacentral:rRNA from 1 species
ACCGCAUAACAACUUGGACCGCAUGGUCCGAGUUUGAAAGAUGGCUUCGGCUAUCACUUUUGGAUGGUCCCGCGGCGUAUUAGCUAGAUGGUGRGGUAACGGCUCACCAUGGCAAUGAUACGUAGCCGACCUGAGAGGGUAAUCGGCCACAUUGGGACUGAGACACGGCCCAAACUCCUACGGGAGGCAGCAGUAGGGAAUCUUCCACAAUGGACGAAAGUCUGAUGGAGCAACGCCGCGUGAGUGAAGAAGGGUUUCGGCUCGUAAAACUCUGUUGUUAAAGAAGAACAUAUCUGAGAGUAACUGUUCAGGUAUUGACGGUAUUUAACCAGAAAGCCACGGCUAACUACGUGCCAGCAGCCGCGGUAAUACGUAGGUGGCAAGCGUUGUCCGGAUUUAUUGGGCGUAAAGCGAGCGCAGGCGGUUUUUUAAGUCUGAUGUGAAAGCCUUCGGCUCAACCGAAGAAGUGCAUCGGAAACUGGGAAACUUGAGUGCAGAAGAGGACAGUGGAACUCCAUGUGUAGCGGUGAAAUGCGUAGAUAUAUGGAAGAACACCAGUGGCGAAGGCGGCUGUCUGGUCUGUAACUGACGCUGAGGCUCGAAAGUAUGGGUAGCAAACAGGAUUAGAUACCCUGGUAGUCCAUACCGUAAACGAUGAAUGCUAAGUGUUGGAGGGUUUCCGCCCUUCAGUGCUGCAGCUAACGCAUUAAGCAUUCCGCCUGGGGAGUACGGCCGCAAGGCUGAAACUCAAAGGAAUUGACGGGGGCCCGCACAAGCGGUGGAGCAUGUGGUUUAAUUCGAAGCUACGCGAAGAACCUUACCAGGUCUUGACAUACUAUGCAAAUCUAAGAGAUUAGACGUUCCCUUCGGGGACAUGGAUACAGGUGGUGCAUGGUUGUCGUCAGCUCGUGUCGUGAGAUGUUGGGUUAAGUCCCGCAACGAGCGCAACCCUUAUUAUCAGUUGCCAGCAUUAAGUUGGGCACUCUGGUGAGACUGCCGGUGACAAACCGGAGGAAGGUGGGGAUGACGUCAAAUCAUCAUGCCCCUUAUGACCUGGGCUACACACGUGCUACAAUGGAUGGUACAACGAGUUGCGAACUCGCGAGAGUAAGCUAAUCUCUUAAAGCCAUUCUCAGUUCGGAUUGUAGGCUGCAACUCGCCUACAUGAAGUCGGAAUCGCUAGUAAUCGCGGAUCAGCAUGCCGCGGUGAAUACGUUCCCGGGCCUUGUACACACCGCCCGUCACACCAUGAGAGUUUGU